rnacentral:rRNA from 1 species
GAUGAAUGCUGGCGGCGUGCCUAACACAUGCAAGUCGAGCGGCAGCGCGAGUAGUUUACUACUUGGCGGCGAGCGGCGGACGGCUGAGUAACGCGUGGGAACGUGCCCCAAAGUGAGGGAUAACGCACCGAAAGGUGUGCUAAUACCGCCUAUGGUCUUCGGAUUAAAGAAUUUAUUCGCUUUGGGAGCGGCCCGGGUCGGAUUAGGUGGUUGGUAGGGUAAUGGCCUACCAAGCCGACGAUCCGUAGCUGGUCUGAGAGGAUGAUCAGGCAGACUGGAACUGAGACACGGUCCAGACUCCUACGGGAGGCAGCAGUGAGGAAUCUUCCACAAUGGGCGAAAGCCUGAUGGAGCAACGCCGCGUGCAGGAUGAAGGCCUUCGGGUUGUAAACUGCUUUUAUAAGUGAAGAAUAUGACGGUAACUUAUGAAUAAGCACCGGCUAACUACGUGCCAGCCGCCGCGGUAA